UUUUGGUUUACAAAGUCCAUCUAGUAGAUUUUGAACUCCUCUAGGGCAAAGAUCAAGUUUUAGUAAUCUUUUUUAUCCCAGGGUUGAGUGUGGUGCUGGAGUAUGAACAUGAUAUUUGUGGAGCUGAAUUGCUCCUGGAACCAGACUUUUACUCCACAUUUACCCUCGAAUCUUCCAAAACUCCAGAUCCUCACCAUCAUUCAACUUUAACUUUGGAGUCAGAGAGCUACUGCUUGGCUACAUGCAGACUGAAAAUGUGAUGAUGAUAAGCACGAAGUGCAUUAUUACCAAGAAAAGAUAAGCAUCGUACCAUUUCAUGAGAGAAAACAUCUUAUAUCUUUGAGCUUUUCAAUGAGAAGUGUAGGAUCACUUCCUCCCAUGUGAAUCACUUUGACAUUUAAAGAGUUCUUGGAACCAAGAGAAAGAGGUGUGGUAUGAAGGGGUCACACAGAAGGUGAGCAAGACGUGGAAUGCUUCACUUCCCCACAGUAAAGUAACACUCUUCAGUCAAACCAGGUGAGGUGAAAUAACUGGAUAUUCUCCUUGAAGCUAAUACAUUUCUAUCAGAUACUUCUUCAACAAUUCUUAUUCCCUGACUGGAGCAUUCUUUGCUGAUACCAAUUAUAGGAGGAUGGAAGUAGUCAAAACACCUCCAAAAAAGAAAAUGGCAAAGAAAUAGAAUGAUAUUUUAUGUUGUCUACAAAAGAGAUAAUUCAUAGUACACUAUCUAUACUUGAAUGAGUUAGAGAUUUGCAGCUUGGUCUAAUAAAGAAAUAACAUGGUAAGCUUUUAGUUUUUCUUUUUAAAUCAGAUUGGCUUAACAAGCAUUGCUGGUGUAGAGCCAACUGAGGAUAUUUGAGGGAAAACAACUGUUUAGGAAAUCAGGCAAUGAGGCUGAAUAGAUUCUAAGCCAAUCUGAGUCUCAGUUCCCUAGUGUAUGAAAUAGACUGGACUAAAUUAUCUCUAAGAACAAUUCUUGCUCUGAAAACUCCUUGGCUAUUUGUUAAUUUAUAAACAUAUACUACACAGUUAGUCACUGUGAACAAAAGCAAUUGAACAGUAUUAUUUGUAUUUCACUGAAUCUGCUGUGAGAAACUGUCCUUGGCUUGUAGACAAAAUACAGGAAUAAGGGACUUUGAACACAAGCAGUAUAUAUAGGCAAUGAAAGAUAAGACACCAAAACUUUCUUGAAGCUCUCCUGCAUUGCCUAUCUACCUUAUUAGAACUUUCUUAAUGGCUAUUUAUCCUUUAGAAGUUCUCAUGUGAAUUACCAGCUACCUGUAAAAAUAAAUCAUCAUUUAUUUCCAGUGCAACUUUUAUUUCCUCCUUGAAGAUGAAUGCAGAAACUCAAAGAAACAAGGAAAUUGGGACUACUUGGAGUUGCCAAUGUAAUCAAACUCCCCUCAAUAAAAGAAAACCUGUAUGUUCUGAAAGGAUUAUAUUAGUGGGCUGACAAGUUCUUGAACAUAAGAAUCCACUUAAGCAGAUCUACGUAGAGUGGAGUCUGUUGCUGAAAGGAAUUGGCUCACUCAACACUUUCACUCCUACCUAGUACACCUCCUACUCUUGCCGCACGCUUUUACCUUUUUUUUUUUUUUUGAGGCUUCUCCAGUUCUCGUUAGGUUUCAAAUAAAGUUUGGCAUCCUCAUCCAACAGUUAGUGCUGAGCAUAACUAGAAGACAGUCUGUUCCACUGGAAAG